CAGUAAAUAGGAGGUGUUCACGGGUUAUAGCUCACCACUUAGACUUUCUGCCUCUCUUUCGAACGAAGCUGCUCCUGAGUUAACAUCUUCCAGUCGCAACCAUGCAUAAGGGCGAGUCUCCAAAAGAGCCUGAGCAGCUGCGAAAGCUUUUCAUCGGAGGCUUGAGCUUUGAGACCACAGACGAUAGUCUGCGCAGCCACUUUGAACAAUGGGGAACUUUAACAGAUUGUGUGGUGAUGAGAGACCCAAACUCUAAGCGUUCCCGUGGGUUUGGUUUUGUCACCUAUGCUUCAGCUGAAGAGGUAGAUGCAUCUAUGAAUGCAAGACCCCACAGGGUUGAUGGCCGUGUGGUUGAGCCUAAAAGAGCAGUUUCAAGAGAGGACUCUCAACGCCCGGGGGCACAUUUAACAGUGAAGAAAAUUUUUGUUGGAGGUAUAAAAGAAGACACAGAAGAACAUCAUUUAAGAGAUUACUUUGAAGAGUAUGGCAAAAUAGAAGUUAUUGAGAUAAUGACUGAUAGAGCCAGUGGCAAGAAGAGGGGGUUUGCUUUCAUCACUUUUGAUGACCAUGACUCUGUUGACAAGAUUGUCAUUCAAAAAUAUCACACAAUUAAUGAUCACAACUGUGAAGUGAGGAAGGCUCUCUCCAAACAAGAGAUGGCAACAGCAUCUAACCAGAGAGGAGGUAGGGGAGGUGGCUCUGGGAAUUUCUCUGGUAGAGGUGGAGGAGGAUUUGGUGGCAAUGACAACUACGGAGGAGGGCGUGGUGGAAACUUUGGUGGAAACAGAGGGGGUGGUUUUGGAGGCCGGGGCUAUGGAGAUGGUUACAACAAUGGCUUCGGUGGUGGUGAAGAUUAUGGUAACAGCCCUCCCUACUCUGGUGGCAACCGUGGCUAUGGCGGUGGUCAGGGAGGUGGAUAUGGUGGCAACACUGGUGCUGGAUAUGAUGGCUACAACAAUGGAGGGGGCAGUGGCUUCUCUGGUGGUAGUGGUGGUGGUGGCAACUUCGGGGGUAGUGGAGGAUACAAUGAUUUUGGAAACUACAACAGUCAAUCAUCUUCUAACUUUGGCCCAGUGAAAGGGGGAGCUGGUGGAGGAAGCUACGGAGGGCGCAGCACUGGUCCUUAUGGCGGUGGUGGCUAUGGUGGUGGUUCCAGUGGUGGCAACAGUGGUUUUGGUGGUGGUGGAAGGAGAUUUUAAAAGUAUAACAGGGAACAGUUUCUACAUUCCAGGCCAGGUUGCUAUAACAUGUAUGGUGUCUAAAGCCUUUUGAAGGACCUAUAUGCAACUCCUUCUCCCCCACCUCUGAACAUCUUGGGGAAUACCUUGCGUAUCAAUCCGUGCUGUGAGAAUGCUGGGGCUAUUCUUCAUAGCCCGGCUAUAUUCGUAGCCUCCACGAGCCGAGACACUCGGCAGCUGGAUCAGCUGAUCGCCCGGCGUUCGCACACUGUCCCAAACCUGGAAGUGAGGCUUCACUGACGUCGUUGGUGACGUAUGUGCGGGGGGGGUCGAAGGAGUGCAGGUACCUGGACUGGCUGCAAAACACCCAACCAGGGGGGUACAGCGGUUCCAAAAGCUGGUAAUGGCACAGGAACAAAGGUCGAUUUGGAGCCAGCGGCUCCAAAUGUACCUUUAUUUUAUAGCAAGACCCAUACCCUUUUAAACUUUGCACCUGGUAUAUCCAAUUUACUUCCAUUAUCAAAUUUUGCAGUGGUGUUUUUUUUUUUUUUUUCACACUUUCUGGGUAACAAGAUCCUACUGAGCAUGUGCAAAGGGUAUACAUAUACUAGUCUGUGGCUGGUGUCUAAUUGGCGUUUCAUGUCUUAGGUUAAAAUAAAGUACUGUUUUGCAGUUCUGUUACUAAGUCUACACCUUAGUCAUCUUAAAGUCUUAUCUUGCAUUUCUUGAUUAUCCAAAUCUGUGACUGUCUUACCUUAGAUUAAAGGACCAAUGUAAUAGCACUUGGGGGGGGGGGGGGGGGCUACUCAUUUUAAGUUAAGACUGACAAUUAAGUUGUCUAUUUCCACUCCCCCUGUACCAUGUGACAACCAUUAGCCAAUCACAAAUGCAUACAAGCUUGUUCUGUGAAUUCUUGCACAUGCUCAGUAGGAGCUGGUGACUCAGUUCAACUAUAAGGACUGCGCAUUUUGUUAAUAGCAGUAAAUUGAAAAGUUACCUUCUGUUUCGUUUUGACUUGUGCCCCUUUAAGCUGCAAAUAGUCUCCUGCACCCUUUCUAUAUCAUACAGCAAAGAUGGUAAAAGGAAAUGGCUGCCAUGCUCCACCCACUGACAUCAUUAUCUGGGCUACAUCUAGGCACUCUGCUGAAUAGCAGAGACAGUCUGUUGAAUCUAUCUAGUGAAGCCUUUAAUGCAGCCCUGAUCGUGAUGUCUUCAGUGGGCAGAGCAUAGCAGACAUUUCAAAGUAGCCACAAACUUUGGCUGCAUUAUAUAGAAAAGGUUCAAGAGGCUAUUUGCAUCUUAGUCAUCUUAAAGGGACAGUAGUCAAAAUUAAACAUUCAGAUAGGACCACUGUUCCCCCUAAAACCAGUUUUCUGUGCGGUCUAGCAGUGUUAAUCAAGUAACCACACCCUGCAAUUAAGAGAACCAUACCUUCCAGUCUGCAUAAAUAAAGAGAAGCAAUGUUUGCUGUUUCACUGCUGGGCCGCACACAACUGGCCUUAGAGGGAACACUGGAUAGGACUUGUAAUUUUUAAUCCAUUUUCUAAUUUACUUUUAUAAUCAAACUUGCGCUUUUUUUUUUUUUUUUUUUUUUUUUUAUAUAUUGGUAUUAUUUGAAACUAAACCUAGACAGACUCAUGCUAAUUUCUAAGCCCUUGAGGGCUCUCUUAUCGCAUGCUUUUUUUAAAAUUGCUUUUCAACAGACUGAGUGCACGUGGGCCAUAUAACACUGUUUAAACAGUUUAAGAUUUAGCACAACACUGCUAAAUGCAAGUCAAUAUAUAGUCAUGUGAUCAGGGGGCUGGAGGAAGGUUCUUGGAUACAAGGUAAGUUUAUGCAAAACUGGGGAAUGGGUAAUAAAGGGAUUAUCUCUUUUUUU